rnacentral:lncRNA from 1 species
ACGGGGCAGAGGGACUAUGUUGUGAGCCUGCGAAAGAAGUUUGUGUGGGGACUGUGGGCAGUGAACGCGUUGGGAACAAUAUGGAAAACUGGGAGCCGCCUUGGAAUCUACAGGGCCGGGACCCACUCGAGCCAUCCACACUUGCCCCAGCCUCCUCCAAAACAGCACACUUUCCGGCUGAAGAAAAGAAGAAUGGUAUUCACGCAGUUCCCAUUUUACAGAUGAAAACAAGAGGACUUUUUCUGUGAAGUCAAGAAAGUGGUUACAAUGGUACUUUCAGCCUGUCCGAAUUAUGUAUUGCCCCUCCCCUUUUUAUUAAUAACAUUGAAGUGUGAUGGGACAACCACUGAAGCCGUCAGUUGAAACCUGCUGGGACUUUUUAGCCAUUCUCUUCAACAUAAAGAAUGGGUGUUUUUGGAGGGGGUGAGAGGAAUGGGGAAAUGUUGUCAAAGAGUACAAUGUUUUAGUUGAGACAGGAAGAAUAUAUUUUGUUGAGAUCUACAGCACAGCAUGGUGACUGUAGUUAACAAUGAAGUAUUGUGUAUUUCCAAAUUGCUAAGACAAUAAAUUUCAAAUGUUCUCACCACAAA